GAUGAACGCUGGCGGCGUGCCUAAUACAUGCGAGUCGAGCGAAUGGAUUAAGAGCUUGCUCUUAUGAAGUUAGCGGCGGACGGGUGAGUAACACGUGGGUAACCUGCCCAUAAGACUGGGAUAACUCCGGGAAACCGGGGCUAAUACCGGAUAACAUUUUGAACCGCAUGGUUCGAAAUUGAACGGCGGCUUCGGCUGCCACUUAUGGAUGGACCCGCGUCGCAUUAGCUACUUGGUGAGGUAACGGCUCACCAAGGCAACGAUGCGUAGCCGACCUGAGAGGGUGAUCGGCCACACUGGGACUGAGACACGGCCCAGACUCCUACGGGAGGCAGCAGUAGGGAAUCUUCCGCAAUGGACGAAAGUCUGACGGAGCAACGCCGCGUGAGUGAUGAAGGCUUUCGGGUCGUAAAACUCUGUUGUUAGGGAAGAACAAGUGCUAGUUGAAUAAGCUGGCACCUUGACGGUACCUAACCAGAAAGCCACGGCUAACUACGUGCCAGCCGCCGCAGUAA
rnacentral:rRNA from 1 species